GGUGAGGUAAAGGCUCACCAAGCCCGACGAUCUGUAGCUGGUCUGAGAGGACGACCCAGCCACACUGGGACUGAGACUACGGCCCCAGACUCCUACGGGAGGCAGCAGUGGGGAAUUUUGGACAAUGGGCGCAAGCCUGAUCCAGCCAUGCCGUGUGCAGGAUGACGGUCCUAUGGAUUGUAAACUGCUUUUAUACAGGAAGAAACACUCCGACGUGUCGGAGCUUGACGGUACUGUAAGAAUAAGGAUCGGCUAACCCCGUG
rnacentral:rRNA from 1 species